rnacentral:rRNA from 1 species
GAGUUUGAUCUUGGCUCAGGAUGAACGCUAGCGACAGGCUUAACACAUGCAAGUCGAGGGGCAGCACAGGUAGCAAUACCGGGUGGCGACCGGCGCACGGGUGAGUAACGCGUAUGCAACUUACCUAUCAGAGGGGGAUAACCCGGCGAAAGUACGGACUAAUACCGCAUGAAGCAGGGGCCCGCAUGGGGAGUAUUUGCUAAAGAUUCAUCGCUGAUAGAUAGGCAUGCGUUCCAUUAGGCAGUUGGCGGGGUAACGGCCCACCAAACCGACGAUGGAUAGGGGUUCUGAGAGGAAGGUCCCCCCACAUUGGUACUGAGACACGGACCAAACUCCUACGGGAGGCAGCAGUGAGGAAUAUUGGUCAAUGGGCGUAAGCCUGAACCAGCCAAGUCGCGUGAGGGAUGAAGGUUCUAUGGA